GCCUGGCUGGCUCAGCUGAAGAGCAUGUGACUCUUGAUCUUAGGGUUGUGAGUUCCAGCCCCACGUUGGGCA
rnacentral:tRNA from 1 species